GAUGAACGCUGGCGGCGUGCCUAAUACAUGCCAGUCGAACGCCUACCCAAUGAUACUUGCACCUUUCAAGUGACUGGCGACGGGCUGAGUAACACGUCGACGACCUCUCCCAUGUCUUGGGAUAACAUUUGGAAACAGUUACUAAUAUCGAAUAUACCUUCUUCUCGCAUGACCCAAAGUUAUACGGCCCUUCGGCGUCACCUUGAGCUGAAUCCGCGUUGCAUUAGUUAGUUGGUGGGGUAAGGGCCUACCAAGGCAAUGAUGCAUAGCCGAGCUGAGAGAAUGAUCGGCCACAUUGGAACUGAGACACGGUCCAGACUCCUACGGGAGGCUGCAGUAGGGAAUCUUGGACAAUGGGCGAAAGCCUGAUGGAGCAACGCCGCGUGGGUGAAGAAGGCCUUCGGGUCGUAAAGCACUGUUGUAGGGGAAGAAAAGCUGGAAUAGGAAACGAUGUUAGUUUGACGGUACCAUAACAGAAAGGAACGGCUAAAUACGUG
rnacentral:rRNA from 1 species